GAUGAACGCUGGCGGCGUGCUUAACACAUGCAAGUCGAACGGGAUCCAUCAAGCUUGCUUGGUGGUGAGAGUGGCGAACGGGUGAGUAAUGCGUGACCGACCUGCCCCAUACACCGGAAUAGCUCCUGGAAACGGGUGGUAAUGCCGGAUGCUCCAGUUGAUCGCAUGGUCUUCUGGGAAAGCUUUCGCGGUAUGGGAUGGGGUCGCGUCCUAUCAGCUUGACGGCGGGGUAACGGCCCACCGUGGCUUCGACGGGUAGCCGGCCUGAGAGGGCGACCGGCCACAUUGGGACUGAGAUACGGCCCAGACUCCUACGGGAGGCAGCAGUGGGGAAUAUUGCACAAUGGGCGCAAGCCUGAUGCAGCGACGCCGCGUGAGGGAUGGAGGCCUUCGGGUUGUAAACCUCUUUUAUCGGGGAGCAAGCGAGAGUGAGUUUACCCGUUGAAUAAGCAC
rnacentral:rRNA from 1 species